UACGGGAGGCAGCAGGGGGAAUAUUGCACAAUGGGCGCAAGCCUGAUGCAGCCAUGCCGCGUGUAUGAAGAAGGCCUUCGGGUUGUAAAGUACUUUCAGUCGUGAGGAAGGUGUUAAGGUUAAUAACCUUAGCAAUUGACGUUAGCGACAGAAGAAGCACCGGCUAACUCCGUGCCAGCAGCCGCGGUAAUACGGAGGGUGCGAGCGUUAAUCGGAAUUACUGGGCGUAAAGGGCACGCAGGCGGUUAAUUAAGUUGGAUGUGAAAUCCCCGGGCUUAACCUGGGAAUGGCAUUCAAGACUGGUUAGCUAGAGUCUUGUAGAGGGGGGUUAGAAUUCCAUGUGUAGCGGUGAAAUGCGUAGAGAUGUGGAGGAAUACCGGUGGCGAAGGCGGCCCCUGGACAAAGACUGACGCUCAUGUGCGAAAGCGUGGGGAGCGAAACAGGGAUUAGAUACC
rnacentral:rRNA from 1 species